UACGUAGGGGGCAAGCGUUGUCCGGAUUUAUUGGGCGUAAAGAGCUCGUAGGCGGUCUGUCGCGUCGAUCGUGAAAACUUGGGGCUUAACCCUGAGCUUGCGGUCGAUACGGGCAUGACUGGAGUUCGGCAGGGGGGACUGGAAUUCCUGGUGUAGCGGUGAAAUGCGCAGAUAUCAGGAGGAACACCGGUGGCGAAGGCGGGUCUCUGGGCCGAUACUGACGCUGAGGAGCGAAAGCGUGGGGAGCGAACAGG
rnacentral:rRNA from 1 species